CAGUUACAGAGUGACCUAGUAUGCUGAAAUGCUCUGCUACCUGUUUCUGGCAUCACACAUUUGGACCUGACCAUCUCCUCACCUUAAUCUUCAAAAUAUUCAUGGAAGCCACUUUGAUGACAGCUGCAGGAUUUCUUAUAAAGAGCCUUUGCCUCCAAGAACCUCCUUUAUCUCGGCCUGAUCUGCACUCUAUGACUUGGAAUGUGCUAUACUCUAAUCAAGCUCCAGCCCAGGCUUCAAGGCUUUUCACUGGCUUCAAGGUCUAGAAUAUGU